CCCUCGGCGGCCGCCGGCUCAGUCCGCGGGACCGGCGAGGAGGGGCCGGGCCUGGCCUGGCCGGGGCACAAAGGCAGGCGCGGCCGCUCCCCCCGGAGCUGCGGAGCCGGCGCGGAGGGAGUUUGGAGCCCGUUCAACGCUGGGGAGCGGAAGGUCAGGCCGGGAGGAAGGGGCGCCCCGCCGGCCUGCGGGAGCCGCGGCCUUUCGCAGCCUCAGGGCGAGAGCUGGGCCCCAAACCCCGGCCCUGCAAGUGCUUGAGCCGCUCUGUGCCAGCAGGGACUUUGAAAACACACGUAGCGGGUGUUCGCACCGAUCGCUUUUGAGGCUACAGUCGAGUACAACGCACAGAAGGAGAGUAAAUUUGUCACGCUCCCUUCAGGGUGCGACGAAGUUGGGGGAAACUCAGGACACCGGCAGAACGCGCUGCCGGCUGCCCCAACCCCGCGGGCUGGGGACGCAAAGUACAGCGGGGGUUAAAAGAGCCAAGGCCUGUAUUUUUCAGAAGCUGAAGAUGGUUGGGAGUACCAGAGUGUUGGAGGUUUCAUAGAGAGAAGCAGCAAAGUUUUCGUGUGCUGUUUGUUCCAGGAACGAGGAGGCUGUCCCCAGGGUUGUGCUGCCAGGCGUCUCCUGUCGUCCCGGUGCUUCCCGAUCAGAGCCAAGCUGCAGAGCCCUUCUGUUCGGGACACCCGUUUCAACCUGCUCAUUGACUAAAAAUCACAGAGUGAGUCAUAACUCUGGGCUUGUACAUCUUCACGGCCAUUUCCAUUCUUAGUUUCUGGUGCCUGAACCCAAAGUGCUGACUGUUUGCACUUCGCCAGUGCAUUUUUUUUUUUCCCCCCAUGGUGUUUGAACACUUGUGAUGCUACUGAAGAAACCAGUAUCUUUUGGCAGGGGGUUGACAGAAUCACAGGAGAAACACUCAGGAUAGAGAAGAUGAAGGGAACAGCCAUGUGGAGCAGCAGAAAGAGAAGGAGCUGCUGGAGCUGGCAACGUGGCUGGACUGAACCUGCCCUGCUCCUGUCCCUGGCAGGGGUGCAGGGCAGGUGAUGGACACCGUGUCUCUGAGCUGCAAGGCUCUUCAGAUGUUCUCGUGCUCACUCUGUGGGAACACAUCUCAAGAUGUGGGGCUGAAGUAUGUCGAGUGCUGUGGAACAGAGUUCCAGCUGCUUUUCCCCCCAGGGACGCUUGUUUUGGGGAGCACACAUACAUUCAUUCCCUGAGGAACUGUGCCUUUUCCUGGACUCCAACCUCAUAUUCUAAUUAUUAUUUUUUUGUCCCCAGGAGUCUGCUAUCCACCAAACCACCUCUAACCCUGGGGAUGUGGGACAGGACCAUGUUUCAAACUGUCAGACACAAUUAUAGACUCAUAUUCAUUUAUCUGCUGCUCUCACAAUAGAUCAGACAAGUCAGAUAAGACUUCUACCUCUGUAUUCCUGUCCCUGGGAUAUGUAAUAGGCCUUUAUACUCUGAAAUGGCUCACUGGAAGGAGGCUGCUGAAAACAGCACAGCCAGCAUCUGUGUGCAGAGGGAAACAAUUAUCUUGCUUUUCCUUAGCUGCAGAAUUACAGCCCAGAGGUGAGGAAACUUUGCUCCUUACACCAUAUUCCCCCUAAUGCCACACCAGAGGGAAAAAAAAAAGGGUGCUUGUAUUCAUGUAUCCUCUCAGACCAGGACAAUUUACAUAUGAAUGCACUUGAAAAAGAAAAUUAAAGUCAAAGCUAUGUCCAGAAGCCUGGCAAAUGUUCCUGUGCACGUGCAGUUUGCUUGGAAGGGGGGAGGCUGGCAGCUGCUGGAGAGCUCUGCCUUUAUCAGUGGAGGUGGCAUCUUAUGGCUCUGCAGAGCACGUUGCCUUGGACUUGAAAGGAGAGCAGAGCCUCUCCCCAGGGUCCCAGUAGGGAUGAUUUCUCUUCCUGACCCGUGAUCUUGGCGGAAAUGACAGCAGUGGUCCCUGUCCCCUUAUGGAUGGAUGACAAAGUCACAAGCACUAAUUGGACCCCUUGUUAGGAUGGCCGGAAUGGCAGGGAAACAUUCAUGUCUUCAAAAUGAAACAUCUUCCCCGACCUCAGGAUCUGCUCAUCCCAUUUGUGGCUUAUUGCAGGGGGUCGGAACGGGUGCUCAUUAUUGCUGCCUCUGGAUACAUUAGAGCCAGCAGAGAUCAGUCACACAUAAAGCAGGCGGUGCCAGCAGCUUUGAGUCCUAUUCCCCCUGUUCCCAUUCUCUGGGAAAGAUGGGCCAUCUGGGCUCAUUCCUGAGACCCUGAAAUUGCUCCCACCGUGCCUCGCUGAAGGAUUUGCGUCUCGCUUGGGACCUGCUCUGCCCAUCCUUUUCCUGCCUGGAUUUGGUCUCUGCUCGGGGACCGGGACCCGUUUCUCCUCUAGAUGGUGCAACUGCCAUUGGACACCAAAAAAAGCACCGAGAUGCGGCCAGACCCCAGCUCCUGCGGCAGAAUGUGGGGUGCAACCGGCCCUGGGGGCUGCUCCCGGCUCCCCCCGACCCCUUCCAGGUCUCUCCCGCUGACAGGACGGGGCACAGGCUCCCGUGUGCCUCCCGCCCCGGGGCUGUGCUGGGCAGCAUCACCCGCGGCACAGGGCCAGGUGGAGCCGAGGGAUGAGAAAUCCGUCUCCUGCUGUUCCUGGCUUUUCUGUCCUUGGCAGAGCACGGCCCGGCAGUGCCCGGGGGAGAUGCUGGCAGAGCGCAGCGGAAGGCGGAGGAGAGGGGACAGUUCCUGGGGGUGGCCCCGUGCCUGGUGGCAAUCGGGCUCUUUCCGUUCCUGCUGGGUGCGGAACGGGCCGGCUGGAGGAGCCGCGGGGCCAACACAGCCCGGGGUUUAGAAACCCCGCUCGCCUGCCAGCCCCGGGCUCACCUGCCAGCCCCGGGCUCACCUGCCAGCCCCGGACUCACCUCCAGGUGAGGAGGGUUGCGGCUGCCAAGCCCGCGGGGCUGCCCGGGAGAACGGAACAGACCGAACCGCCCCGCCCCACCCGGGGAUCCAGCCUCUCCACUCAUCCCACGGCAGCAAGAAGGACACAGACAGAGAUGCUCCUCUCCUCCAGGGCCACCACUCUAGAGAGCCACCUCCUGGUCGCAGCAGGGCGUUUAUGGCUUAGGGGUUGUGUCAGGGCAGGGUGAGGUUGGCCAGGUUUGCCAGCUCCCCUGAGCAGGUGAGGACAGGUAAGGGCAGGUGAGGAUAGCCCCUGGGAGCCAGGCAGGUUGGAUCUGGGACCCUGCAGGCACAAGGGGAAUCCUAAGCACAGUUCUCAUUGUAAUACUCCCCAUUUGUUUAGGAUAAAACCAAAUAAAUACAAGCUUCAUGAUUUGGGUGAAACAAUAGCAGAGCUUCCAGCAUACAGAAAGGUUUCCUCCCGUCAAGCUUUGCUGGCAAGUUUUAGAGCCUGGAUUUUAAA